CGGGUGCACUGAUCCGGCCGGGCCUUUCCCUCUGUGGAACCCCAUGGCCUUCACUGGCUGUGCGGGGGAAACAGGACUUUUACUGUGAAAAAAUUAGAGUGCUCCAGGCAGGCCUAUGCUCGAAUACAUUAGCAUGGAAUAAUAGAAUAGGACGCGUGGUUCUAUUUUGUUGGUUUCUAGGACCGCCGUAAUGAUUAAUAGGGACAGUCGGGGGCAUCAGUAUUCAAUUGUCAGAGGUGAAAUUCUUGGAUCUAUUGAAGACUAACUACUGCGAAAGCAUUUGCCAAGGAUGUUUUCAUUGAUAAGGAACGAAAGUUAGGGGAUCGAAGACGAUCAGAUACCGUCGUAGUCUUAACUAUAAACUAUGCCGACUAGGGAUCGGACGAUGUUAUUUCUUGACGCGUUCGGCACCUUUCGAGAAAUCAAAGUGCUUGGGCUCCAGGGGGAGUAUGGUCGCAAGGCUGAAACUUAAAGAAAUUGACGGAAGGGCACCACCAGGGGUGGAACCUGCGGCUUAAUUUGACUCAACACGGGGAAACUCACCAGGUCCAGACACAGUGAGGAUUGACAGAUUGAGAGCUCUUUCUUGAUUCUGUGGGUGGUGGUGCAUGGGCCGUUCUUAGUUGGUGGAGUGAUUUGUCUGCUUAAUUGCGAUAACGAACGAGACCUUAAACCUGCUAAAUAGCCCGUACUGCUCUGGCAGUUCGCCGGCUUCUUAGAGGGACUAUCGG
rnacentral:rRNA from 1 species